rnacentral:rRNA from 1 species
UACGUAGGGGGCAAGCGUUGUCCGGAAUCAUUGGGCGUAAAGCGCGUGUAGGCGGCUCGAUAAGUCGGCUGUGAAAGUCCAGGGCUCAACCCUGGGAUGCCGGUCGAUACUGCCGGACUAGAGUUCGGAAGAGGCGAGUGGAAUUCCCGGUGUAGCGGUGAAAUGCGCAGAUAUCGGGAGGAACACCAAUGGCGAAGGCAGCUCGCUGGGCCUUACCUGACGCUGAGGAGCGAAAGCGUGGGGAGCGAACAGG